UUUAUGGUAUGCAAAUUUAUUAACAAUAUAGUUCUAAGUACACUAUGAAAAUAUUAAUUAAAAUGUAAAUUUAUAUGAUAACUUAUUUAUACAUAUAUCUAUUUCAUUUGAAUAACAACAUGGAGUCUUUAUGGGUGAAAGUUUUAUGAUCAAAAUAUAAGGUAACUGAACGUUUACCAGAGAUUUUAUCUUCUACUACUUGCAGCUAUAUUUGGCGGUCUUUGAGGAGCGUUUGGAAGGACAUUCAGGGGAAUAUGGCUUGGAAGGUGGUAACUGGUCGAGAGGUGAAAUUUUGGACAGAUACCUGGUUUAGGGACUUGGAUCCAUUGACAGAUUAUUGCACUGUACUGCAACCAACAUUUCUGAAUGCUACGUGCAAUACCCGAUUUUGGCCCGGGUAAAAGGCCCAAAAUUACAAACAGGCCACAAGGCUCAAACUGAAAUAAGCAGAGGCCCAAAAUUAGAUCCAAGCCCAAAGCAAUUUCAGAAACCUUAGGGUUUCUGAGGGAGCCUCGCGCCGUAGCCACCAAGCAAUCAAGAGCCGAAUCUCCGUGCAAUCUUCACCUACACAACAAGGAAAGAAAUAAGCAGCAAAGAUAGAAAGAAAAUCAAAGAUUUGUAAUCAAAAUGGAUUUGUUUCUUGAUUUCUUUUUUGUUUUUUCAUUCGGCUAUAAAAUAACCAUUGUAACACUGUAAUAAGGGAUCGAUUCAGAAAUCAAUAAAAGACACAAAUAUUUUCACAAACAACCGGAUACAAAGAAUACAAACAGAGAUUCAAUCGGAAACGAAGGUUGAUAUAUUUUUCUUAGUUUCGAUUCAUGUUAUAUUUUCCAUUUUUUAUUUUUUUAUUAAACAAAAUAAAUAAAGGAUAAAAACACUUAUCUUCGCUCACUUCUGAAACGCCGUUUGGACGGCCGAGGCUCGUCUCCGAGGAUAGACGAAGGGGAAAUCGAGAGGUUCCAAAGGCUUUUGGGGUGUUUUUUUGUCGUUUUUGAAGGGGUUGAGCCCAGAUUUGGGCCUAGAAAGGUUGGAAGGGCCAAAAAAGGAAAUUUUUUCCCUUCUCCGGCCACCGCAGACAGCGGUGCCGGUGCCGGAGAUUGGCGACCGGCGCGGUGGCCGGCGAUUGGCCGGUGCCCUGACUUUGGCCGGACGAUGGGGAAGGGGGAGAGCUCUUCAAAGGUUUUUUGUGUUUUUUUAGAGAGGCUUAAAAUGAUUUUUUUUCAGAAGUUAGUCGCUUAAAUAGCCUUUCAAGACGGCAUCGUUUUGGGGCAUGGGUCGACCCGAUUCUGACCCGACCCGGCCUAGGAUCCGCGUGUUUUUAAGCGGAGGGGCAAAUUGCGCUUUUAGCCCCUCCGCCUUUUAAUAUCUUUUCAAUUAAGUUUAUUCUAUUUUUAAAAUUCGCACUUUAAUUUAUUUUCAAUUUCAAUUUGGUCCCUAUGGAACGCACCGUUUAGAAGAGAAGGGAAAAUUGUCCCCCCAGUCCCUCCGUGAUUAAGCGCGCGUUCAAUAUAGUCCUUUGGGCUUUAUUUAUUUGCAGAUUUGCCCCAGUUCUUUCAUUUUCAUUUCAAUUUAGUUUUUUUAUUUAUUUUUUUAAAAAAAUUAAUUAAUUAAUAAUGUAAUUAUUAUUUUUACUUUAAUAAUUUUUAUAUAUAAUUAUUUUUUUAAAUACAUGUAUAUUUAUUUUUAUGUGUAUAUUUGUUUUUAUAUAUAUACGCAUACCUAUUUUUUAAAUAUAAUGUAAUUAUUAUUUUUAUUUUAUAUUCGUAUAUAUGUACAUGUGAAUAUAUUUAUAUUUUUUUUGUAACGAAUGUUUUUUACAUUUAUAUGUAUGAAUGUGUAUAUUUAUUUUAUUUUUAAAAAAAUGCUCAAAUACAUUUUUUUAACACAUGUUUAUAUAUAUAUAUGUUUAUAUCUUUCUUUGCACCAUAUAUAUUGUUAUAUAAUUUUUAUAAUCCAAAGUUUUAUAUGUAAAUCAUAUGUAUAUCUUUAAUCUUCAUAAUUUCUAUGUAUAUACUAUAUACCUCCUUUUCUUUAUUUAUUUUGCUUGCUUUCUUCAUUCGUUAUUUAAUUGUGUUUACAUUUAUAUUUUUUAUUCAUUCGAUAUUUUGCAUGUCAGAGAUUAUUAUUAUUAUUUAGUUUAUUUAUUUUAUAUUAUUUAUAUGCCAUUGUUGUAUUUGUUAUUAUGACAUUCAUACAUACAAUAUAACGUUACAUCAUCUUUUACUCAAAUUUAGAAAUAGAAAAUUUUCAAAAUUGAGAUAAUGCUCGUAUUUAAGAUUUUCAAGGAAAUUGAGUCUUAACGUAUUGGGUUCCGAUUUUCUUCAUUAAAUCUAACAAUCGAGCAUUUCUCUUUAAUAAAAAAGAUAAGAACUCAUUAUUGGGAAUUCAACACGUUGUGUCCUAACGUAUUGGAUGUGAUGCAUUGAUUUCUCGAAAUGAAUAUUUUUUUUCUAAAAAAUAACAAAGGAAAUAUUCUGAGUUUGGGAUUUUAGAGGAAUUGUGCCCUAACGUAUUGGGCCGCGAUUUCUUAAAUCUUGAACAAAUGGAUAUUCUUUUAAAUUUUUAUUACAAGAGUAUUCUGGCCUAAUUCAUUUUUGAGGAAAUAAGAAUGUUGUGCCCUAACGCAUUGGGUGUGGCAUUUUCUUUCUCUGAAAUGAUAAGGGUCUUAAUACGUAAUGUUUUAAGUUUCUACUAAGGAUUAUAUUUUUCAAGUUUUCGACAUUAAGACAUUAAUUAUUUAACUAGGUACCGAUUUUUGGGCGUAAUGAGGGUGCUAACCCUUCCUCAUACGUAACCGACUCCCGAACCCGUUUUUCUAAAAUUCGUAGACCAAAGUCGUUUUUUAGGUGACCCAAUCACACCUUAAUAAAAGAUUGGUGGUGACUCCCAAUUUUCAUUUUUUAAAGUCGACAACCUAAAAUUUUUGUUUUUUUAAAAAAAAUAGUUUCAACAGCUUGGCGACUCCACUAGGGACUUUUUUUAAAAAAUAAGAGAGUCGAGCCACAAAGUUGAUUAAUUUUUGUCUUAUGGUCGAGAAAAUAUAUUUUUUUAAAAUCACGACAUCCUUUCGCAUUCAUUAUCUUAUUUCUUAAAUGUUGUUUGCAUUAUACAUUUCACGAGUUGAACAAUUUUACCCUUUUAAGUGGGAGUGAGGAGCUAUGCCUUCGUGAGGAGCUAUGCUUUCGUGAGGUUUUCACCUCCGUAUAGGAUAGUGGAUCGCUUUCGGGAUACAUCGGUACCUAGGCCUUCGUGAGAUUUUUAUCUCCGUAUAGUCAUAGGGAAAAUGUGUCCCCCUGAACCGAACUUGAUCUAUAUGAGCCUAUAAUGCGUGAGGAUCAAGGAAUCUGCUGGUUCGGGUACCUUUACUUUAGGGCCAAACCACAUAUAACGAGCCUUAGAAGCUUGCCUUAGGUAGAACUACACUAUACCCUAAUAGAUGUCCUAAUAGACGUUUUACUCUUCCUUGAUUAUAUGCUUGUAUUGGAUACUGACUCUUGUGCCUUAUUUUGUUUGCAUGACAUGACAUUUCAUUUUAUCAUAAAAGGCGUCAUUUCAGAUUCGAUUGCUAGAUAGAAAGCUUAACAUGGAAAAAGGGUUUCUUGAUAAAGUGGAGGACAAUGCGGCUGUCCGAACUUGGUCUGAAACAACGCAGCAAGAAAAGGAUGAUAGCCAGGCAGAUGGGUAUGUAUCAGAAUUAUGGGAUUUUACUCACAUCAGCGUGGCUCAAAACAAUUUGCAGGAGUUGAAAGAAAUUUAGGAUCAGUGGAAUAAUGAGGAUGGGCAGUUAUUUUACGACAAUUAUGGGGACUUGCCUUAUUUGCUUGAUGUGAAGGUAGACAAACAUUUGUUUCGAGCCCUCGCCCAGUUUUGGAAUCAUGUUUACAGUUGCUUCACGUUUGGGAAUGUCGAUUUGGUACCUACGAUAGAGGAGUAUGUGGCUUUACUCCGAUGUUCAAAGUUUCAAGUGGAUAGGGUCUACUUGAGAGCGGUGAAUGUGUCAACCUUUUCAAAGAAGCUGAUAGGAAUAACAGGGAUGAGUGAGCAAUGGGUCGCUGCACAAGUUAAGCAAAAGGGGGACAGCAAGUGCAUUCCUUGGAGGAGCUUGAAGGAUGCAAUUCUCACCUACCCAGACGUAAGAAAGAGGUUAGAUAUCUUCUCUUUAAGUAUAUACGGCUUGGUUAUCUUCCCUAAAGCCUUGGGGCAUGUGGACGAAGCAGUCACUGAUUUAUUUGAUCGGCUUGAGAAGAAGGUUACACCGAUUCCGGUAAUUUUAGCAGAAACCUUCAGGUCAUUGAGUGUAUGCCGAAAGACGAGUGAGGGUAUAUUUAUCGGAUGUGCGCAACUUCUACUCGUAUGGUUUCACAGUCACUUUUGGAAGGUGGAUAAAGUUUCGUAUCGGGUCUUUUUUGAAAAUUAUUCACCACUAAAAGAGAUAGCUGCUAUGCCGAGGAGGGAUGACAUUUCGGAGGAAAAAUGGAUGGCAAUUCUUCAAAAUCUUCAGGAGGAAGAUGCUGAGUGGAGAGCUCCUUGGUUGCUUCCAGAUGAGAUCCUAUAUAGGUGUGGUAAUUUCGAUUGGGUACCUUUAUUGGGUAUUUGGGGAGCUGUCGGAUAUGCCCAAUUAUUGGUGUUAAGGCAAUAUAGGUCAAGGCAGUUUAUACCUGCGACCCAAGGGAUAGCUGAUUCUGAAUUUUCAUACAAAAAUGAUGGUUAUAGAAAGAAGAUUCAAGAAAUGUCCAAUGCGUGGAAACAGACUCGCCGAAUGAAGAGGUUAGCUGUGGGGCCGAUGACAACUCCUGAGUAUUAUGGAUGGUGGGCUAGGAGGAUUAAUGAUAACACACCUAAGUUAAAUCAUGAGGACGGCCAAUCAAUAGAAGAGCAUUUGCGAGUCAUCCCUUCGGAAUUGGAAAUUGUAAGACAAGAUUUUGAGAGGAAGAACGCGGAUUUGGAGAAAAGGAUAGAGUAAAUGGAGGCGGAAAAGACAAACUUGAGAUUGGACAUAGACGUUUAGAAGCUUGAGAAUGAGAGGUUAAGUGAAAAGAAAAACAAGGCUGAUGAGGAACUGGGCAGUCUAAAGACGGAUUAUAAAAAGUUGUGUUUGUCAAUACGAACUGCUGGGCUGGGAAAGACGUCAGAACAGUGGCGAGCAGAAAUCCAAGAAGAAAAGGACAAGGCCGAUAGAUGGGAACAGAAAUUUCAAGAGAUGCAAAGGUGAAACGAGGCUUUAGAAAAGAGUUUGUCAGAAAGCCAAAAGGAAAAGGGCGAGUUAAAGGAUAGGGUGAUCGUAUUGGAAAGAUCUCUUCGUUAGUAUCGAAGUCGAAACUCUACGAUAGAGUUGAAAGCAAGCUUGAGCAAGAUUGACGAAAUGAAGAAAAGAAUCGAAGAGCUAGAAACGGUGCUGUAAAAUUGUGAGAUUCAGAUCAAGCACUUGAAAGUAAACGAAAGUCGUAAUAAUGGACAGCUACACCACUUUUAGAGUCAAGUUAGGAGUAGAGAUCAUCUUAUGGAGGAAGCUGUGGUUCAGAUUCGAGAAGUAGCUGAUUACGUACAGUCUUUAGCAGUACAAGCUGACAUGCUGAGUAUGAAGUAUGAAUUAGAAUCGGAUCGGGGGCAAGAAUUAGCUUUGUUACUUAGGAAGAUUAGAGUUCUGGGUAAUAGGGCAAAGUCUUAUUUGUAAUUCGCUUUAUGUAAAGAAAUUUGCUUUCUAGUAAGGUUUUCUUAUAUGGAAUUGAAUCAAGAUUGACGUCUUUUUGCAUUCAUGCAUUGCAUUACUUCAUAUGCAGUUAAAAACACUAAAAGAUUCUAAUUAAUUUAAGUCACUCCUCAGUUAAUCUGGAAACCAACCAAUCAACCGAACACCGUUAUAGUACCCGAGCAAAGUCAGGAGGCAUGGACCAAAGAUUGGAGAGAAUAGAGCAAAUGCAAAUACAGAUGCAAGAGCAAUUGACUGAAUUUCAACAAGAAAUGAGGAAUCAGAUGCUAGAAUUCCAAAUAAAUAUGAGCCAGCUAACCCAGUUAUUGGGUAAAGGGAAAAUCCCAGCGGCUCACCUUGGGGAUGAUAAUAAGGACCCUAUAUAUUCCCUAGAUUUUACCUUGAUAAGUGUCAAGGCCCAACCAGACGCAUGUCCACAAGAGGCACUCUUUACUAUCAGAUCCCGGCAAUAUCUGACUGGUACAUUGACACCAGUAUAUGGCCUGACAGACUCAAAAUCCAAUCCUGUUGCUCUAGACAAUUCAUCAGAAAUAAAACAGGUGAAGGUAGAGCACCCAGAUACUAUAAAAGCUUCAAGGAAGAAAGGGAAUAAGGGGAAAAAUGAAGGCAGAUAUAAUAAGAGCCACUCAAGACCAAUCACUGUGGGCCGGCUAAAGACAGAAACCACCAACCAUCAAGGUCCUUUAAAGCAAGAAUCAUAUGAGAAGCCAGGUACUGAAAACCUCCAGUUCACGCCAAUUCCAAUGUCGUACAAUGAGCUGUAUCAAAGCUUAUUCAAUGCGCAUGUUGUUGCUCCUUUACAUGUGAAACCUCCACAGCCCUCGUAUCCCAAAUGGUACGACACAGGUGCACAAUGCGAUUAUCAUGCGGGAAUUACGGCGCACUCAAUAGAGAAUUGCAUUGCCUUCAAAAGGCUAGUUGAAAAAUUCAUCAACAUGGGUAUCGUCAAGUUAGAUGACUCAUCUAAUACAGGAAAUUCGCUACCCAAUCAUGAUUGAUAAUGGUAUGAAUUCAAUAUAUGAAGAGGUUUUGAGAAGUAUUCACAUACGGAGACACAAUUAGGGACCUUGUUAGAUGUCUGUCCUUAUAAAAUUUGGGAGUGUUCUAAGUAAUUGGAUUGCGGAAGAAAUCUCUGUAGUCUUUAGAACUUGUUUAGAGCAAUGUUCAGAUCAUUCUUGUUGCUUUUAGCCUAAAAUCGAUAGGAAUUCCUUUGUGAAAUAGGCUCAUGUCUGAACAUCAUUAUUCUAAUAAAAUACAUCUUUGUAUUUGAGCCAAUAUUUUUUCAUUCUUUGCGAGUAAUUAUUCUUUCAUUCUUUUAGAUUUUCUUCCACAUCAUUCUUUUGUUCAUAAUUAUAUUGUAUAAAUAAUCAUUCGUAAAUUCACACAUUCUUUUGUAUAUUCUUUUGCAAUUACUAUGGGUCCUCAGAUAUCAAUGACAUGAGUGACGCUGCUACUGACUCAGAAUCUCCUUCUAAGUGAGACAUGUGUUUAGAAGGAUCUCAUAACUUAGAAGAUGUCAUAGAUCGUAGCCUAUUUUUGGACCUGUUAAGGAUGGUAGAACAAGUCGGAAAAUGGAUCUCACCCUACAAAGAAUUAUCAGGAUACAUGACUUCUCCUUAUGUGGGACAUGGAGGUCAGUUGGUCGAUCUCGCCAAAAGAGUCUGACGGUCAUCAAUUCAUCUUUGUGAUCGUCAAUUACUUUACUAAAUGUGUGGAAGCUGCUUCGUAUGUCAAUUCUUGAAGAAUCAUAUGGAACGCCAAAAGGAUCAUAUCUGACAAUGUACUAAUUUUGAACAACAGCACAAUAUCAAAAGUUUACAGUCUGUUCACGAUUAAUGUCAUAUUGCCCAAAGAAAAGAUGGCAAAAAAAAACUACUCUGCUGGGGCAAUGACUUUCUCUUGGGCCUAUCGUGGUUUUGCCUAUUGAAGACAAGAUUCUUUCACUCUGAGUUUUUAGAUCUAAUUGAAGAGGAAUGUUCAAAGUUAUCCAUCAUGGUCAAAUGCACCAAAAGAAAAUAAUGCGAGCUCACAAAAAAAAGGUCCACCCUAGAGAACUCCUUGAGAGGGACCUGGUAUUGAAGGGGAUCUUUCCCAUACAAAAAGAAUUUUAUCCAAGAUAGGAAGGGCCUUAUGUUGAAGGCCUUAUUUGGAAAAGUGUCGAUUUUGAUCAGAAGGGAUAACAAGGACAUGUCUAAUCCUAUGAGUUCAGAUUCAAUCAAAAUUAUUUCAAAAAAAAAAGAGAAGAGAAAAAGAAAAUAAGAAAGAAAAUGGAAAGGCCAAGGUGAAAACCCGCAAAGGGCGCCUUGAGACCAAAGGGGAUUUGAGUUGAAAACCUGAAAAGGGCGGCUCAAAUAUUGAUUAGAAUGGGGCAAGAGGUGAUCAGAGCAGUUCAAAUUUUGACCAGAUGGGGGCAUGUGGUGAUCUAGUUAUACUCGAACCAACAUAAAAGAGUAGGCAACAUCUUGAGGCAUCGACAGAGUACUGUAGAUCUCUUAAACACAUGUCAAACUCAAAAGGGUCUUCAGAAAGUUUGUACAGAGAAAUUCAAGCUGCGAUAUCUGGGGCACCCAAUUUUCAUGCUAUUUAUAUUGAAUACUUCAUUCAUUUUUAAGAUACAUAUUCCCAAGUGAUUUCUUUGUUAUCCUUCUUAAUUAUUUUUGAUAAUUUAUUCCUUUCGAACUAUGCUCAGAACCAACUUUAUUCUUAUUCAUUGUUAUGACCUUUUUGCAAGCAUGUUGCGUUGGAAUAAUGAUUAUUGGACUAAUAAAACUUUCACAAUGGAAGUUUUGCAUAUUACUCUGGAAGUUUCUAGAUAAUAUAGGAAUCUGAAACAGGACUAUUAUUUAGAACACACCAUGUUUAAGGGUUGAAAAUCUGAAAAAGUCUAAAUUAGGACUUUCUCUUUUGAUUUUGUUGUCAAAAACAUUGAACAAAAUGACAGGAUGUUGUGUGGAUAACUAAGCAAAUAAUGAUCACCAGACAAUAGGAAAAGGUUUUCUCGAGGAAGAAAGCCUUCAUUUGUGCAUGAGCCUUUGGUAUGAUACCCUGGGAAUGGCGUAAGAGACCAGAGAGAUUUAGAUCUUAUAUCAUUGAACUGUGAUAGGAGAGAAUUGAGGAAAAGCCAUAUAUUUCUACCCUUGGGUUACAGUGAAAGAAAAUGUUACGAAUUUUGGCGUCCCAGUGGUUUGAACUUUAAAGUUCACAGUGGGGGCAGCCUGGCUAAAUGUUUCUUCAGAAAAGCCAGUCAAGCAAGAAGGCGUUGUAGCACGUCAGUCACAAAGCCUUAAUAAACUUCGAGUAAUGACAACCUAAGCGGGAUCAUUCUCGGAAAAAAAAUUUUGCAUUCAUGCAAACACCAUUCACACAUGUCUAGUUAGGAGCAUUUGAUGCAUUUUGAUCAUGCCAUCCUAAUCAUUAGGCAUAAUUAGGUUCAUUAUACAGGUCAUGUUCCCCAGAGAACAGAUCAGUGAAAAUAGCAGAUCUUGUCUUCCUGCAUCGAUAGCGAAGCAGAUCGAAGAUGGCAAAUCUUAUCUCUCUGAAGUCGCAGUAGAGCAGAUUAAAAGCCGAUAAUCCUAUCUCCCUGAAGUUGCAGUGGAGCGGAUCACAACCUUGGAUCUUAUCUCUCUGAAGUUGCAGAGAGCAGAUCCCAUUUAGUUUUAUCCUCCUGAAGUUGCAGUGGGGCAAAUUGAAGAUGACAAAUCUUAUCUCCUUGAAGUCCCAGUGGAGCAGAUUAAAGCCGAUAAUCCUAUCUCCCUGAAGUUGCAGUGGAGCGGAUCACAACCUUGGAUCUUAUCUCUCUGAAGUUGCAGAGAGCAGAUCCCAUUUAAUCUUAUCCUCCUGAAGUUGCAGUGGGGCAGAUUGAAGAUGGCAAGUCUUAUCUUCCUGAAGUUGCAGUGGAGCAGAUUAAAGCCGACAAUCCUAUCUCCCUGAAGUUGCAGUGGAGCGGAUUAAAAUCUCAGAUCUUAUCUUUUUGAAGUUGUAGAAAGUAGAUCGCAUCUAGUCUUAUCUCCCUGAGGUUGCAGUGGAGCAGACUAAGUAAGCAAGUCUUAUCCUUUUGAAGUUGCAGUGGGGCAGAUUGAAGAUGGCAAGUCUUAUCUCCCUGAAGUUGCAGUGGAGCAGAUUAAAGCCAAUAAUCCUAUCUCCCUAAAGUUACAGUGGAACGGAUUAAAACCUUAGAUCUUAUCUCUCUGAAGUUGCAGAGAGUAGAUCCCAUCUAGUUUUAUCUCCCAGAAGUUGCAGUGGAGUAGACUAAAUAAGCAAGUCUUAUCCUCUUGAAGUUGCAGUGAGGCAGAUUGAAGAUAGCGAAUCUUAUCUCCCUGAAGUUGUAGUAGAGCAGGAUAACAGAUCAAGCUGAAGCCAGAAGUCUUAUCUCUCUGAAGUUGCAGUGAAGUAGAUUGAAGCACUAGUUCCUGUACCUCUAAAGAUGCAGUAGGAAGGAAUACCAAGAUCCAGCACGACCGGACAAAAUCGGGCAUUUUUAAAAGUCUUUGCUCUGUUCCUGUUACACGACAACGAGCAAAGAGGGGCAGCUGUAAUACCCGAUUUUGGCCCGGAUAAAAGGCCCAAAAUUACAAACGAGCCACAAGGGCCAAACUGAAAUAAGCAGAGGCCCAAAAUUGGACCCAGGCCCAAAGCAAUUUCAGAAACCCUAGGGUUUCUGAGGGAGCCUCGCGCCGCAGCCACCAAGCAGUCAAGAGCCGAAUCUCCGUGCAAUCUUCACCUGCACAACAAGGAAAGAAAUAAACAGCAAAGAUAGAAAGAAAAUCAAAGAUUUGUAAUCAAAAUGGAUUUGUUUCUUGAUUUCUUUUUUGUUUUUUCAUUCGGCUAUAAAAUAACCAUUGUAACACUGUAAUAAGGGAUCGAUUCAGAAAUCAAUAAAAGACACAAAUAUUUUCACAAACAACCGGAUACAAAG
rnacentral:lncRNA from 1 species